UAUAUCUGUGUGUGUGUGUGUGUGUGUGUGUGUGUGUGUACACACACACACAUAUACAUACAUAUAUAUAUA